CAAUGUAACACACAAGGUCACGAACUGUAAACAGUGUGGCUUUAUUUCCCAGUGUUACCCGGAAGCGGCAAUGAAGGCAUAGUUAGUUUAGACUAGGGCACGGAAAAUAAUGGUUUUACUCUGCACAACUUUGAUUGGAACAAACUGAUUGGUCCAACGUCAUUGGCGAUGUAUCCUAUUAAAUACUAUCAAGAUGUGUACAGAUUAGAGGAUAUUGUGUGUGUGACAGCAUCAACAUCCUGUGAUUAAGGAAGAACACUUCAAACAGUUCUCCAACUAUCAGCAUAGGAAAUAGACACAUGGGUGUAAUGGAAGCAAGAGGCCGUGUCAGGAGCUGAAGGAAUCAUGACAUUAAGAGCUUUCAGACAGCGUAAACUCAUCGUUUCGUACGUUCUAAUGUUCUACUCUUCCUGCAAUAGUCAAAUCUCAUUGAAUGCAGUAGCGAACUGCUAGAAGGAUGGCCAUGUUGGAUUGUAAACGCUUGAUGGAGGGACUGGGGAAAAUAAUUAGAUUUUGAUAGAGAAAAGCUAAAGUGACGGGGUACGCCAUAGAACCAUUCCCGGCCCGGAUUAGGAAAGCUCGGCCUUCACUCCUGCAUUUUACCACCGAGAGAGCUGGGCCCCGGAAUGGGGGUGGUGACAAAGCGAUACAGCCUGUAGAUGGGGCAACUAAGUGCUGUUCUUUUGCAACUGUCAGUAGCUGGUGGCAACCCGUGAACAAGUUGGGUAUCUACUUUUCCAGGGGGUCAGGUAGAGCGGAAGGGGGACGGAAUGAACUGUUUCUUUGUUUUAUACGCUUUUUAUCAAAAAGUUGUAUUAAGCCAUUUUCUGGUGUUAUUCACUCCUCUUCUAAAACACAAUGGUAAUAUUUCAAUCUAGUCUAUUUAAUAGUUGCUGACUGCAAAUCAACACAAACUGCAAGAAUUCUGCAUGGCGGAAAAUGCUGAUGACACAAACUGCAGAAUUAUCAAUAUAUAAUUAAAGUCUUCUUUCCACUCAAGGGCUGUAAAUCUGCCCCGGUUGUAAUUCAUGAGUGGAACUUGGCUAUUGCUCGUUGCUUAAAAUGCACUCUCCUUGUAACAAAUAUGCAGAAUAUCCGCUUCCAAAGGGGCUAGGCUCAGUGGAAACCUCCCCAUUAAAUCGUCACAACAACAGGAGGCACCAAGGCUGUGAUAGACAGGUGCGCGGAAACUCCUCCGUUCCCAACCAAAAGCCUUGUUUCAUAUUUCCCUCGGUCUGGUCUUCCCCCCCGCUCAGUCUUGCGACAUAACUUAUGUCGAUGUUGUUACAAUGUGACACAGCCAUUCACUGCACUCGCCCGAGCCUGAAGACUGGCCCCAACUUUUAGACUUGAAGCAGGAAGAUUUCGCCGGGGACUCUUGCAACGCGACUGGGAUUUGAUCCGCUUUAUUUUUUCUCUCCAUACAUCGUCGUCGCAAAAUGUCCACACAAGCCAACGCUUCUUGGGAUUACCACAACCGAGUCCGGGGUUUGGGGGAAGUUUUCGCGUCUAAGUCCUGGGAUUGAGACCCAUGACUGCGCGGACGUACCCUUCUCAUUUCAACGAUCUGGCAUUACCUUGGUGAGCCUCGGGUGAAAAGAGAAAGGGUAACUUCCAAUUUAAAAUCCCCACCCCCCCCAACUACCCUUCCCUUUAAAAUUUCCCGCCCCAUACUGUGGAAAUUCAUUAAUUUAUUUCAGGCAAUUUUCAUCUCCAUUGGUUGGACAGGGGAUGACGCGCGGGACAACAAAGGUGGAGUUGGAAAUUCAAUAAAAAUGUAGCAAAGAAAGCUCGGGCUCAAUAUUCUAUGUGUAAGCGCUGCACUUCACUGCAACUAACUAUUUAACACUAGCAAUUAGUCCGGGCAACAACCAGCACUCUCUCGGCUUUGCUGCCGCUCUUGGGGCGAGAGAAGCGGCCUUUUCGGUUCAUUUUAACCGCAAUUCUUUCCUCCCACCAACUCAAAUAGUAACAAACUUCACCCUCGCCCUUCCAAAAAAAAAAGAACUUCGCGUCUUGUUGGAGAAGAUAUUUUAUUGCCUUGAAAGACGGAAAAAAAAUGGAGGAGGCGGGAUGGUGUUUCUCUUCCUCUGCUGGACAUAUACAUCGUUUCGCCAAAACACACACACACACAGUAGGACACCUCUUCUGCUACGAGAGACGGGCUGAAUGCAAGUCGGAGGAGAGCAGGGGGAUGGGGGAAGGAGCUGAUCCGGAAAAAGGGGAUUGGAGAGGUCGGAAGUAUCGCGAAGCAUGCCGGCUCUCAACGGGGACGAGAAAGCGUCCACGCCCGGGGCCAGCGCCGCGGAUCUGGCGAAGGUUCAGAGCGAGCUUCCCUUGUGUUUUUUUCGCAAGACGGAACGGUAGUUGAAUUGAACCUGUAAAGAGUGUGGAGCAGCAUGAACGGGGAGUCAGCCAUGUCUGGCACUGUGGAGCUGAGUGAUGCAAAAGAAGAUUGGCCAAAAGAGGACCUCCUCGGCCUACUGGAUAGCAUGAGGAGCAUUGUCCCUUCUAAUGAUGUGAUGAAAUUCAAAACAACAGAGUCUCAUAUGGACUGGAACAAGGUGACUUUUGCCCAUUACACAGCCGAGAUGUGCAAACAGAAGUGGACAGAAAUCUCACAUGAAGUGAGAAAGUUCCGCACUUUAUCAGAACUUAUUAUAGAUGCACAAGAACAUGUGAAGAAUCCUUAUAAAGGGAAAAAACUCAAGGUGAGCAUUUGACCUGAGGGGAAACGCCUGAACUUUUGUCAUUGUUUCUUGCUGUUUAUGAGGAAAGAAAAAUGCAUUCAUGAAACAACAUUUUAAAUUUUUGUUUUUAAUAUAUAAUAUUUUGGAAGUGAAACAUAUUCAUUGUAAAGUUAUUGGUAUUGCAGCCAUGAAAUCCAAACAAUGCCUGAGGUUUUGCACUGAGCAAUUCAUCCUGAUUAAAACUGCUGCCUUGUAAUAAUAUAUUUGGAAUUUGUAAUUUGAUACAUUUCCAAUACUAGCAUCUGAUCCUGGCCUGACCUUUUGAACUUUAGUUU